UUUUAUACAAAACAAAAAAAGGAUAAAGUGUAUAAGUGUAUAUCAUCCUCUAUGUGAUCCAGGUGUGGAUUUUUUGUAAAAUUCUGGUGUACUGUGACGGGCUGAUUCGUUGUCAUCAACUUGGGUCAUUUUCGUGGGUGGCCAGGCGUCCGACAAAUAAUUUCUGGAGCUUGAGCGCGUAUGUGCAUAAAGGUUCAAUGCCGGAUAUAUCAUAAAUAAUUCUACGUUCGUAAAUUUCCAAUUCUUUGGCUACUGUCGGGGAGAUAGUGAACCAUAUUGGAAAACCGUAAGUCAACACGGGUCUGAUAGCAACCUUAUAAAGCAAUAAUUUCGUAGCCUGAGGUAAAUGCUUGCUAUUCAAUAUAUAAGAAAAUGAACCUAAUAUCUUUUUCGUUUUUUGUAAUGUUGCUCGAGCGUGGGAAUUAAACUUCAACAUCUUGUCGAAUGUGAUGCCGAGGUACUUGACGCUUUGUUCUAUCGGAAUAUUGACUCCAUCCAAUCUUUAGCCAGGGCAAU